GAUGAACGCUAGCGGCAGGCCUAAUACAUGCAAGUCGAACGGGAUUAAGAGGCUUGCUUCUUAUGAGAGUGGCGCACGGGUGCGUAACACGUAUGCAACCUACCUUCAACGGGGGGAUAGCCUUCCGAAAGGGAGAUUAAUACCGCAUAACAUAAUUGAGUGGCAUCACUUGAUUAUCAAAUGUCAGGGUUGAAGAUGGGCAUGCGUCCGAUUAGUUUGUUGGUGAGGUAACGGCUCACCAAGACUACGAUCGGUAGGGGAUCUGAGAGGAUGGCCCCCCACACUGGUACUGAGACACGGACCAGACUCCUACGGGAGGCAGCAGUAAGGAAUAUUGGUCAAUGGACGCAAGUCUGAACCAGCCAUGCCGCGUGCAGGAAGACGGUCCUCUGGAUUGUAAACUGCUUUUGUUAGGGAAGAAACUUCCGUACGUGUACGGGACUGGCGGUACCUAAAGAAUAAGGAUCGGCUAACUCCGUGCCAGCCGCCGCCGUAACAC
rnacentral:rRNA from 1 species